rnacentral:rRNA from 1 species
UGGGGAAUAUUGGACAAUGGGCGCAAGCCUGAUCCAGCCAUGCCGCGUGAGUGAUGAAGGCUCUAGGGUUGUAAAGCUCUUUCACCGGUGAAGAUAAUGACGGUAACCGGAGAAGAAGCCCCGGCUAACUUCGUGCCAGCAGCCGCGGUAAUACGGAGGGGGCUAGCGUUGUUCGGAUUUACUGGGCGUAAAGCGCACGUAGGCGGACUAUUAAGUCAGGGGUGAAAUCCCGGGGCUCAACCCCGGAACUGCCUUUGAUACUGGUAGUCUCGAGUUCGAGAGAGUUGAGUGGAAUUCCGAGUGUAGAGGUGAAAUUCGUAGAUAUUCGGAGGGACACCAGUGGCGAAGGCGGCUCAAUGGCUCGAUACUGACGCUGAGGUGCGAAAGCGUGGGGAGCAAACAGG